CAGCGAUAUGCAGUUUUGGGCAUGAUCCUAUGAAGCCUUUCACAGCAUACAAUUACGAGAAGACUGUAGUUGUAGCCUCUACAAUAACCGAAAUCAUCCACAAAUUCAACCAAAAUGGAUCAUUUAAUGAUAAGCCACAUCCAGGGGUACAAAAAGCAAGAAACGCUCAGCAAGACCGAUACAUUUGGUCUUUAACAUAUCCGAUAUCGACUCAGAUGUCUGUCCAAAGGUCACGAGAGUUCAAUG
rnacentral:lncRNA from 1 species